GAAGGAGGAGGAGGACGAGAAGAAGAAGAAGAAGAAGAAGAAGAAGAAGAAGAAGAAGAAGAAGAAGAAGAAGAUCCUUUGUGUGGAGCGGAGAGAAGCUAACAAACACGCAGCAGAUAAACACUCGCUUUUAAAGCCGUUUGUUAGCUUAGCAUCAGCACAUCCUCCGUGGAUCGAUAGAACAGAGCGUUCACUCUGUCCAUCGCCUGACCGUCACAGUUACAGGUAAAAAAUAUGAAGCGUGUUAGCAGCGUUAGCUCCUGCUCUUAGCCUCCAUCGGCGCCAUUAGCUGCCCAGCGUCUUUGUGUGACCGCGGUGCUAGCAUGUGGCUAACGUUAGCUAAAUGCUAGUCAUCUGUUAGUUAUGUUAUCUGUUGGUUAUGUGUUAGUUAUGUGCUGGUUAUGUGUUAGUUAUGUGUUGGUUAUGUGUUGGUUAUGUGCUGGUUAUGUGUUAGUUAUGUGUUAGUUAUGUGUUGGUUAUGUGUUGGUUAUGUGCUGGUUAUGUGUUAGUUAUGUGUUGAUUAUGUGUUGGUUAUGUGCUGGUUAUGUGUUAGUUAUGUGUUGGUUAUGUGUUGGUUAUGUGCUGGUUAUGUGUUGGUUAUGUAUUAGUUAUGUGCUGGUUAUGUGUUAUGUGUUGGUUAUGUGUUGGUUAGCUCAGUAUCAUCACAUUUUUCACAUUAUUCAGUGACUGAAGCCUUGUGAAUCUUUGAGUUUUUUUUUAUUGUUUGUGUUGAAGAAGAUUCAAAGAUUCAAACAGAGACAACAACUCCCGGUUUUAUCCACCUACUGUAGUUUAACUGUUUAACUGUUCUUGAUUGUUUAGCUGUAGUUUAAUAGUUUACAUGUAGGGAUAAUGUUUGUUUUUAAGGGGGUCAUUCUUGACUAAGGUUGAACAAGUGAGUUUUAAACAUUGAACCAGGCUGUUUGUUGAAAUUCAGUCUGAUGGACUUAACCAGAAAUGUUGUUGUUGUUUAACAUUACUGUAACGUGUAGGCCUGGGUGGAGUAAUAAAGGUGUAGGUGGUGUUAUAAAGGUGUAAAGGUGUAGGUGGCGUUAUAAAGGUGUAAAGGUGUAGGUGGAGUUAUAAAGGUGUAAAGGUGUAGGUGUCAGUGGAGUUAUAAAGGUGUAGGUGGAGUUAUAAAGGUGUAAAGGUGUCGGUGGAGUUAUAAAGGUGUAGGUGGCGUUAUAAAGGUGUAAAGGUGUCGGUGGAGUUAUAAAGGUGUAGGUGGAGUUAUAAAGGUGUAGGUGGUGUUAUAAAGAUGUAAAGGUGUAGGUGGAGUUAUAAAGGUGUAAAGGUGUAGGUGGCGUUAUAGAGGUGUAGGUGGCGUUAUAAAGGUGUAAAGGUGUAGGUGGAGUUAUAAAGGUGUAAAGGUGUAGGUGUCAGUGGAGUUAUAAAGGUGUAAAGGUGUAGGUGGAGUUAUAAAGGUGUAGGUGGAGUUAUAAAGGUGUAAAGGUGUAGGUGGAGUUAUAAAGGUGUAGGUGGGGUUAUAAAGGUGUAAAGGUGUAGGUGGAGUUAUAAAGGUGUAGGUGGAGUUAUAAAGGUGUCGGUGGAGUUAUAAAUGUGUAAAGGUGUAGGUGGAGUUAUAAAGGCUAGGUUACCCGUGAAAAUGGGGGUGUUUUCAAAACACCCCUGUUGUUGACAGAAGGUUGGACUCGCUCAGCUUACAGAGACAGACCUCCUGUCUGUCUCUGUAAGCUGACACCAUUUCCCUCAGUGGAAAUUAAGCUUAUAUUUACUUGUAUUUCACAGAUAAGUAACAAUAAAUUGUGAAGACAGUAAAGCCUCCACUAAAAUAGCAUUUUAAGUCUUGUGUGUCAUUUAUCCUUCAGGGAUUUAUACUUCAGGAUUUAUCCUGGCUUCAUAUGAGCAGAGGAAGUCUCCGCUCGUCACUUGGCUAAUGUAUACCAUGUAAAAGUUUUGAUGACUUGAACUGAUGCGUUGAGCAGGUGACAGUACGCGGUCGUUUUCAAAACACACUUGUGUCACGCACUCCAAAAGAAACUUCUUGAAACUUUAAACAAUAAUUUAUUGUACAAAACGGGGGAAACAAACGUUGACAAAAACGGUUCCAUAAUUCAUAUUAAAUUCAAAAGAUGACGAAAAAACAGCUACAAGUUAGAGGGAAUAGUGGUUAAGUGGUAAAACUUGGCAUUGAUCCACAGCCUCAGACGGAUGCGCUCAAGCCUGCCGUGCACACAAGCUCCGUUGGUAGGCGAUACUGUAUUUUCACAUUUUUAACAAUGCAAUUUUGAUUUCGACCAAGAUUUUCUUUGUAUGACUACAG